CCUACGGGCGGCAGCAGUGAGGAAUAUUGGUCAAUGGACGAGAGUCUGAACCAGCCAAGUAGCGUGAAGGAUGACUGCCCUAUGGGUUGUAAACUUCUUUUAUAAAGGAAUAAAACGAGGCACGUGUGCCUUUUUGCAUGUACUUUAUGAAUAAGGAUCGGCUAACUCCGUGCCAGAAGCCGCGGUAAUACGGAGGAUCCGACCGUUAUCCGGAUUUGUUGGGUUUAAAGGGAGCGUAGAUGGGUUGUUAAGUUAGUUGUGAAAGUUUGCAGCUCAACCGUAAAAUUGAAAUUGAUACUGGCAGUCUUGAGUACAGUUGAGGUAGGCGGAAUUCGUGGUGUAGCGGUGAAAUGCUUAGAUAUCACGAAGAACCCCGAUUGCGAAGGCAGCUUACUAAACUGUGACUGACAUUGAUGCUCGAAAGUGUGGGUAUCAAACAGGAUUAGAUACCCUUGUAGUC
rnacentral:rRNA from 1 species